GAUCAAGCGAAUAAGUGCAUGUGGUGGAUGCCUUGGCGAUUACAGGCGAAGAAGGACGUGCAAGCCUGCGAAAAGCUCUGGGGAGCUGGCAAUGAAGCUUUGAUCCAGAGAUGUCCGAAUGGGGAAACCCACUCCGCAAGGAGUAUCCCAUCCUGAAUAAAAUAGGGAUGAGGAAGCGAACCCGGCGAACUGAAACAUCUAAGUAGCCGGAGGAAAAGAAAUCAACCGAGAUUCCCAAAGUAGUGGCGAGCGAAAUGGGACCAGCCUGCAAGUGAUAGUCAGAUCGUUAGCGGAAGCCUCUGGAAAGUGGCGCCGUAGUGGGUGAUAGCCCCGUACGCGAAAACGAACUGAUGGUACUGAGCUUGCGACAAGUAGGGCGGGGCACGUGAAACCCUGUCUGAACAUGGGGGGACCAUCCUCCAAGGCUAAAUACUCGUAAUCGACCGAUAGUGAACCAGUACCGUGAGGGAAAGGCGAAAAGAACCCCGGGAGGGGAGUGAAAUAGAUCCUGAAACCGCAUGCAUACAAACAGUGGGAGCCCCUGCACAAAGCAUCUUCAGGGUUCUUUCGACGAGGCGAAGCCGAGUCAAAAGAAUACUGUAUGAAAUAGGGAAGUGCAGGCAAAGAACCCGGAGGGUUCUUUGUGCAGGGGUGACUGCGUACCUUUUGUAUAAUGGGUCAGCGACUUACGUUUUGUUGCGAGCUUAACCGAAUAGGGGAGGCGUAGGGAAACCGAGUCUGAUAAGGGCGAAGAGUAGCAAGGCGUAGACCCGAAACCAAGUGAUCUAUCCAUGGCCAGGAUGAAGGUGCGGUAACACGCACUGGAGGUCCGAACCCACUAAUGUUGAAAAAUUAGGGGAUGAGCUGUGGAUAGGGGUGAAAGGCUAAACAAACUUGGAAAUAGCUGGUUCUCUCCGAAAACUAUUUAGGUAGUGCCUCAAGUAUCACCGACGGGGGUAGAGCACUGUUAUGGCUAGGGGGUCAUCGCGACUUACCAAACCAUUGCAAACUCCGAAUACCGUUGAGUGCGAGCUUGGGAGACAGACAUCGGGUGCUAACGUCCGGUGUCAAGAGGGAAACAACCCAGACCGCCGAUUAAGGUCCCCAAGACAUAGUUAAGUGGGAAACGAGGUGGGAAGGCUCAGACAGCCAGGAGGUUGGCUUAGAAGCAGCCAUCCUUUAAAGAAAGCGUAAUAGCUCACUGGUCGAGUCGUCCUGCGCGGAAGAUGUAACGGGGCUCAAACUAUGCACCGAAAUCGCGGAUAUGCGUGCUCCUUUAAGGGCAUUCGAGGAAAGUCGCUUGUCGUCGAGCGAAGCGAGACGACAAAGCGUUUACAAAGUCGAGUGUUAUUAAAGGAGCACGCAUAUGGUAGGAGAGCGUUCUGUAGGCCUGCGAAGGUGUCUCGUGAGGGAUGCUGGAGGUAUCAGAAGUGCGAAUGCUGACAUGAGUAGCGAUAAAGGGAGUGAAAAGCUCCCUCGCCGAAAGCCCAAGGUUUCCUGCGCAACGUUCAUCGGCGCAGGGUGAGUCGGCCCCUAAGGCGAGGCUGAAAAGCGUAGUCGAUGGGAAACAGGUUAAUAUUCCUGUACCUCUUUGUAAUGCGAUGGGGGGACGGAGAAGGUUAGGUCAGCCGGGUGUUGGACGUCCCGGUUCAAGCGUGUAGGCGUGCUCCCUAGGCAAAUCCGGGGAGCUGAGCUGAGGCGUGAUAACGAGCGAUUUUAUCGCGAAG
rnacentral:rRNA from 1 species